UUGUCAUUGAAAGAAAGACGGCAAGUUUCUGUUCCACAUUUCUUUUUCUUUUCUGCCAAAAGAUGUGAGCACACAACUGAUCACCCUUGCUGCACUUGGAGUACAUAGCAAGGUGCGUUUCGUGUCUUUUUACACGACGAUCUAAAUCAAUUAAGAUGGCGGCUAAAAUGGAGUGACUCUCAUUGGAGCAGUUCUUCAUUGACUUGCUGACUGUGGGUUCCUAUCCUUGGUGUGCCAUUUUUGUCAUCAGUAAAAGCUGGUUCAGUGAAGGUCCAUCCCAGAGAGGACUUUCAAAUC